ACUUUUUGUUUAAUCACUUAAUGUGUAUCUGCUCUGUAUACAGUAUUUACCACUGCCACAGUUAUGUUUUAGAAGUCACUUUUUUUUAAAGACACCUGCAUGCUCCAAGAAAACUUGUCACCUUUUACAUCUAAAAACUGCACACUUGGGAGAAAAAUUUGCGGUUUCAUGUCUGAAACCAUGUGCACUCUCUUUCCAAAUAUAUUGUAACAAAUGGCGGGGAGUUCACACCACUGGUCUCAAACCUGGGUUCCCGUGCAUGCUUCCUAAUCAUAACACCAAGUGGGGCAAGAGGUUGGACCUGCUGUUGUGCCUGCUAUCCCACCUACAAUCUCUGAUGUCACACCAACUGCUACUCUUCCCAACCCCAUGGAGGAACCAGCAGCUGCUGUGGUACCAGUAAAUCAGCUGAUACAGACAAUACACAUUAUUCCACAGUUUGAAGUCCGGAGUAUUCUUACAGGCUUACAUGAUGGCAAGGAAAUUGUUGAGAGCCUUGAUAAAGAUAAUGUCAUCACAACUAGUCAGAGACGUCUCCUCGUCCGAAUCUUGGUGUCGUAUCUGAUUGAGAAGUUUGGAGAAAAGUACUUUAUUUAUUUUUUAUAUAGAAUAGAGUUCCUGUUAAAUACACCAAUAUUCCCAUUUGGAAAGUAAAUUAACAUGUAGUUUUUCAUUUCACUUAAAUUAAAACAGGGCACUACUUUGAGGUCUGACAUUGACCUAGAUUUGCUAGGAAGCUAUUUUUUGGGAUACGACAAUUUUUUCUGGAGUACUUGAAAGCGGUAGUUUAAAUUAUAGGACAUAAAGAAAGAUUUAUGAAA